AUAUAGUAGCAGCAAACUACUUGAGAGAUUUUCUUUUGUGUUUAGUUAUUUUAAAGAAAGCAUAACAGUGUUAUGUUAGCACAGAGUGUGACAGCUCCCUCUUCAUCCUUUACUCUGUGACUUGGCCUUCUCUACAAUAUUUUAUACCAAAGAUUAAGAACAAACUUGGUCUUGACUAAAACGUAGUGAAGCGGCUGGUAAAAUCUCUCACCAUACGUCAGCUAUGAGUCAUUUUCAAAAAUAACGAAUGAGCACCGUUUACCACAUUAUUCAAGUGUAAUUACUAUCUGAAAUAGGUGGUUACGAUUACAGUGAUCCAAUAAGGUUGUCUGGUAAAACCAACAACUCCAGAGCUCCAGGGACUAAACCACCAUCCAGAGAGUACACAUGGACAGACCCACGGCCCCAGCUGCAUGUGUAGCAGAGGAUGGCCUUGUUGGGCACCAGUGGGAGGGGAAGCCCUUGGUCCCCAGGAGGGGAGGUAGGAAUGAGGGGUGGCUGGGGAGGGGGGACACCCUUUUAGAAGAAGGGAAGGGGGAUGGGAUAGGGGGCUUAUGGCUCAGAAACUGGGAAAGGGAAUAACUUUUGAAAUGUAAAUAAAAGGUACCCAAUUAAAAAAA
rnacentral:lncRNA from 1 species